rnacentral:misc_RNA from 1 species
GAGUGUGCCCGAAAGGCAAAAUAUAUUUCAUGAGUGAGUCUGAGUGAGCUCAAAAUUUUGCCGACCUAUGCUAGGAGAACAGGGGUUCAGGGCUACUUUGGUUAUUUAGCUCACAAGUACCGGACCUCAAUUGAGAACUUCAUUUGUGAUUGAAUGGUUGCAUAUGAAGAAACACUUGCAUGGCCACAUUCGGUGCCCUUUGUGUGAUAAAUGCCUUUUGGAAAAGUACAGGCUUAGGAAACGCCACCGUGUCUACACAGGCAAGAGACCAUUAAAGGGCCCCUAAACCCCCUCUGAUAUUUUUUCAAACAUUUUAAGUAAACACGCGCAUCAUGUGGAGAGUGCCGUCACGAUCAACAAUGCCACAUGUGGCAUCGCUACAAGCCGCGGGCUGAGCUGAGAAGCACAGAGUCGCGGCAACCGGAAGUGCCCUUUGUUUCGAAGACCACGUCAGCGAUGACGAUAUGUCACGCGAGAUUGGGAGGGGCACUCAGCGCGGAGGGCAAAGUGGCUUCGGGAGAGGAGACCGGCAGACAAGUGGAGGGUAGUGAAGGAAAGAGUGGAAACGAGCGAUGGCAGCGUUUCGAUCCUCAAACGCGUGUUACUCCGCUAUUAUGGCACCAUUUCAAAAAAUUCUCACAGUUACGUGUUCGUUGGAGACUUGUGCACAACUGUCACACCACAACUAAAUUUCGACCUCUGGGUGGUUUAGGGGCCCUUUAAAGUGUCGUUGGUGCCCACAAAGCUUUCCAAGAAAUAGCAGUUUGAAGGAACUCCUGCACACUCACACUAGUGAAUGUCCACUUCACUGCACCUUCUGCUCACAGAAAUUCUCAUAAGAAAUUCCACCUAUCAGCUCACUUACUCCUACACACAAGGGAAAAGCCAUACAGCUCCACUAUCUGCUCCAAGUCACUUGUGCAGAGCAGUCACAUGAGAGUUCACAUGGAAUUUCACAACAUCAAGUAUGUCACCAGUCAUGCAUCUGUGAAUUGUUAUUGCAUCCAUACUUCCCUUGUUCAUACCUACACAUUAUGCUAUAUGUUAUUCUGAUGAAUUUGGACCUGCCACCAUAUGCUACUAUAUAUGUUGAUUUAACACGGGGCACUGGAGGAUUUUCCAGGAAUACCUAACAAGUUGCAGACACUUUUCCUUGUAAGAAGAUUCCAUUGCCUUACUCUGGUCUUCUUCAUGUUCUGUCCCUUUAUGUGAUAUUCCUUCAAAGGAGUUGUGUAUGUGACUAAAUAUUCAUGCUAAAUUCUUAUUGUUUGUUUUGUUGUUGAGGUACGUACGAAUUUUUCAAAUAUUCUUCUACCUAUGUGGACACUCCUGUGAGUUCAUUUGCCUGUACACAAGUUAACUAGUGUCAUGUUAGUAUUUGUAUAUGUUGUUAAUUCACUGAGUUUUAGGAAAGUCUUUUGUACUGAGAUACAACUAGAAUGUUGGUUCAAGUCAUUGCUUGCUUUUCAUGCUGCCACGUGCCGACCGCUUUCUCCGGGCAAACGCAUGCUUUAUGUGAAAGACGUCAUGGAGAGGAAGAAGUGCACGUUAAAUGCCGACCGCUUUCUCCGGGAAAACGUGUGCUUUGUAUGAAAUACGUUAUGGAGAGGAAGAAGUGCAAUGUCAGUGCGCACAUGAGAUGUUUCAAGGCUUAGCACACCCGCACAUAGUACCCCUAAUGCCCAGUGUCCUAUAUGUGUAGGACGGCUUGCAAAAGAGUGUUGCCUUUACCUGGCAGUAAAUAAAGAACUUGUGCUUUCUUUGAGGGUAGAAGUACACAUUUUGUGAAAAAAGAUAUUUGUUUUGUCAUUUUUUCUGAGUUUGGGCAUAUAUGGGUUAAACUAGUGUCAUGUUGUAUUUGUAAGUUGUUAAUGCACUGAGUUCCAGGAAAGUCUUUUGUACUGAGAUACAACUAGAAUGUUGAUUCCUCUUGAUGUUUGAGCUACCUGUGUGAAUGUACUGAUAUGCAACUUUUGUAAGCAGUCGUCCAAACUGUGCAGCUCAGGCCACGGAAGUAGCAUAUUGAUGGGUGUGAAAAACAAGAACUGCUGCGUACUCAGAUUUCGGUUCACACUAGGAAACCCAGUUGGUAAAAACUAAGCCGUAGUUCCUUACUGUGUUACGCAUCAAAUGUUAUGGGGGUUCUUGCUCAUAAAUCCAAAACGUAAUUUAAUUUUGUUGAUCACAUGUCUUAGUUAUUUCUUUUUCCCUGUUCUGAAUAAAGCUAGUGGCAUGUUGUAUUUCUCAGGUGUUAUUGCGCUUAGUAGGCAAGUGUUUGUAGUAAGGUGCAACUGCAAUGUUGAUCCAUAAUGGUAUUUCAGCUAACAAAUUUUCUGAAGCACUAAUGUGCAUCAGCAUAGCUUAUUCCCUUGGGCAAAAAGAUAUAGUAUUUCAUGCAUUGCAGCAUUGUUUUCUUUUGCCUUUACAUUUGCACAAGUAUGUGGACGGUAACUACAGCCACCAGUGUAGGCACACACUAAUAAAUUCUAAUUAAUUGAUGCUUUGUUUUGAUUUCUUUGUCUUUACUAUGUAGUUGUUGCUGUGGUCACUUUUUAAAUAGUAGCUCUGUUGCUGAUGUCACUGUUUAUUUGUAGCGGUGGCAAAAAUUCACCCCUCAACCAUGAAACCACGUGAAAGAUGCAAAGAAAGCUGUUGACCUUGAAAUAGAACUUGUUCAGGUGUGGGUAAUAAAUAUAGCAUAUCUCAUGUGUUUAGAAGAAGAAGAAAUAGACUGAAUAACAAAUGUAUUUGGUUGUGUCUAACAAAGAAAUGAGCAACUUUAAAAUAAUUUUUUCAAAUUGAUAAUUAUGUGAUACAUGGAGCUUUGGUUGUUCAUAGCUGUUCUUAGUCUGGGAGACCACUUGGAACAUCAGAAACCAUGCACUUCUGCUGCUUUGACAGCGGCACCUUUGCUUACUCUAGUGUCAUUACUUGUGUACAGGGUGUGUUGAAUAGUGCAAAACUGGAAGAGAACGUUGACAUGCUCACAACAGGUAACUUGCAAUGAGGAUAGGAAUGUUGGUUUCUUCAUGUGUGGUAUUUUAGCGUAAGGUAUAAUAAUGCAUGCCGAAAAGCAGUUCUGGAAGAUAGCUUCACUGCAUUACCAGUUUAUUUUUCUUUAUGGCAAUGUCAUGAAUAUUAAAUCUCCGUGGAAAUUUGGCUAUCACACCUUUCUGGAUUGGCAUAUUAGGCAUGCAACUCGGAACAGUCUCAAGGGUGUACCUAUCACUUUAUGUUUCUUGCAUAGGCAAUUUUUUUUACACGUAUGGAUGGGUCCAGUCAUUGCGUAGUCACAUAGAAAUUUGCAGAACAAUAAAAAAAAUAUCUGUAUUUUUCUUUUAAAACAAAACAAAUGAUUUUUAGGAGGCAUGCCUCGUUUUUUCUAUGCAGAAGAGAGCAAUUCCAGCAGUCCAACAACUCUGGAGAAUGGCAAGUCACAGUCCCAUCGCUCUUUCAUUGGUGUCUCUGAAACUGAACGACUAUCUGAUAUGGAAGUUCAUGACAAGGCCCACAAAGGCAAGCGACUGUUUGAAUGCCACCUGUGCCCUCACCGUUUCCAACGGAACAGCAAUCUCAAGCAACACCUGCGUACCCACUCCGGCGAGCGGCCACAUCAGUGCCCUUCAUGUGACAAGAGCUUCUCGAAAAAUUGCACACUUAGGGACCACUUGCGCACUCAUACUGGUGAACGUCCAUUUCAGUGCACCUUCUGCUCCCAAACCUUCUCACUACAAUCCAACCUAUCACAUCACCAACGUGUCCAUACAGGCGAGCGACCGUUUAAGUGUCAUUUCUGCCCUGAAAGCUUUCCUAGAAGCAACACUCUCAAGACACACCUUCGCACCCACACAGGUGAACGUCCAUUUCAGUGCUCCUUCUGCCCACAAAGAUUUUCACUCUCAUCCACCCUAUCAGCUCACCAGCGUGUCCACACAGGCGAACGACCGUUUCAGUGUCAUUUCUGCCCUGAAACCUUUUCACAGCAAAGCACUCUUCAGAUGCACCUGCACACUCACACAGGUGAACGUCCAUUUCAGUGCUCCUUCUGCUCGCAAAGCUUUUCGCAACGAGCCACCUUGUUCAAUCACCUACUCAUCCACAGAGGUGAACGACCGUACAAAUGCACGGUCUGCUCAAAGUCAUUCGUGCGAAAAACUAACUUGAAUGUUCACAUGAAAACACACACAGGUGAACGACCGUACAGCUGCACUGUCUGUGCCAAGUCCUUUGUGCGGAGCACUCAAUUGAAAAUUCACAUGAAAAUGCAACACUGAGUAUGUUCCCAGCCUGGCAUGUGUGAAUUGUCAUUACGUUUGUAUUUCAGUUCUUCACACAGUUUGCUGCAUAUGAUUCUGGUGUGCCUGGAACUGACACCAUGUGCUCUUAUAUUUUGAGCUGACACGUGAAAUCAAAGGAUUUUCAAGAAUUAUCGAACAAGUUGUAGAGACAUGUUUUAAAAGAGCUUUAAAAGUUGCUUUCAUGUGACCUUGUUGAUAUAGUAUUCCUUCAAGCACGGUUGGGUUUGUUGCUGUGACUAUCUAAGUUAAAUUCCUAGUGUUUGUCCUCUUACUAUGGCAUGUAUGUAUUUCCAAUACACUCCUUCCUGUGUGAACACUCCUGAAUCCGUUUACUUCUACGCCAGCAAAACUGAUUGCACAUUGUGUUUCUAUGUUGUUAAUUCAUUGAGUGGUUGGCAAGUCUUCUGUGCUGAGGUAGAAUCCCUCGUAGUGUUUGAACUAUGUCUUUAGAUGCACUGCUACCUUAGUGAACAGCCCUUAUAGUUGUGUUGUGUUGCUUAACUCGGGGGAGCGAGUUCGGUUCCCGGCCACAGCAUCAGCAUCCUGAUGGGGGUGAAAAACAACAACACCCAUGUACUUGCACUUAGGUGCACAUAAAUACAUAAAGCCGGCAACUCCCAAACGGGGUUCUGAGGUAAAGAACGGUGCUCCGAAAAGUAUGGGUACUUGUAUACCAAUCACUCUAUCAUUGCUUGAAGGUAACUGGUCAGAGUGCUUGAAAGUAACUGGUCACUUGUAUCGUACGGGACUGACAGUCUGUUUAACAUGAAAUCACACAUCAGGGUCCACAAAGACGUGUGCAAUUUGUACCCUCAGAGUUUUCAUGGAUGUCACAGUGAACAAACACAGUAUUUGGCAGAUUUUGUUUUAAUGCAGGUCCCCGCUGACACCAAUGGGUUGUUUGGAUUUUUUUUUGUCACAAGAGUCUAAAGGAAAACUUUGCUAUAACAUCAGUCAUAUUCAUUCUUACCAUUAUAGUUUUUUAAACCAAUCACCAGCUCAUUCUCACUUCACCAGGUGGAGGUGCAACAAUUAGAUGAAACGGCAGCUUGCUUUCUGUGACAAAGGAUUAAAGUGUUGUUAGAAAAAGUUCGGAAGCAUUGUUAGACUGUCCUUCACAUCAUAUCCAUAAAACACUACUGUUGUGUUAUCUUUUUCUUUAUACCGAUGAAGUUAUAAUCAUCUUGCUAAAGUUUCAUGGCUGUAGUUGAUGGCAAUCAGCACAACUUUACUGAAAUGGUUUUUGCAUAUUGUUAAACUCCGCAGAUAGAAGAAAAUUAUUCUUGCCUUGUGUUGUCCGCAUCAGUAACCUCGUCACUGUUGGUAUCUCUUUGCCCUUCGUGGUAGAAUUGUGACUUCCCUGUGUAACCUUCCAUGCAUU